rnacentral:rRNA from 1 species
CCUACGGGAGGCAGCAGUGAGGAAUAUUGGUCAAUGGGCGAGAGCCUGAACCAGCCAAGUCGCGUGAAGGAUGAAGGCUCUAUGGUUUGUAAACUUCUUUUAUAUGGGAGUAAAGUGAGGAACGUGUUCCUUUUUGUAUGUACCAUAUGAAUAAGCAUCGGCUAACGCCGUGCCAGCAGCCGCGGUAAUAAGGAGGAUGCGGGCGUUAUCCGGAUUUAUUGGGUUUAAAGGGUGCGUAGGUGGGUAAGUAAGUCAACGGGGAAAGUUUGUGGCUCAACCAUAAAAUUGCCGUUGAAACUGGUUGACUUGAGUAUAUUUGAGGUAGGCGGAAUGCGUGGUGUAGCGGUGAAAUGCAUAGAUAUCACGCAGAACUCCGAUUGCGAAGGCAGCUUACUAAACUAUAACUGACGCUGAAGCACGAAAGCGUAGGGAUCGAACAGGAUUAGAUACCCGAGUAGUC